UAAGGCUGAUGGCGACCGGCGCACGGGUGAGUAACACGUAUCCAACCUGCCGUCUACUCUUGGCCAGCCUUCUGAAAGGAAGAUUAAUCCAGGAUGGCAUCAUGAGUUCACAUGUCCGCAUGAUUAAAGGUAUUUUCCGGUAGACGAUGGGGAUGCGUUCCAUUAGAUAGUAGGCGGGGUAACGGCCCACCUAGUCAACGAUGGAUAGGGGUUCUGAGAGGAAGGUCCCCCACAUUGGAACUGAGACACGGUCCAAACUCCUACGGGAGGCAGCAGUGAGGAAUAUUGGUCAAUGGGCGAUGGCCUGAACCAGCCAAGUAGCGUGAAGGAUGACUGCCCUAUGGGUUGUAAACUUCUUUUAUAAAGGAAUAAAGUCGGGUAUGCAUACCCGUUUGCAUGUACUUUAUGAAUAAGGAUCGGCUAACUCCGUGCCAGCAGCCGCGGUAAUACGGAGGAUCCGAGCGUUAUCCGGAUUUAUUGGGUUUAAAGGGAGCGUAGAUGGAUGUUUAAGUCAGUUGUGAAAGUUUGCGGCUCAACCGUAAAAUUGCAGUUGAUACUGGAUGUCUUGAGUGCAGUUGAGGCAGGCGGAAUUCGUGGUGUAGCGGUGAAAUGCUUAGAUAUCACGAAGAACUCCGAUUGCGAAGGCAGCCUGCUAAGCUGCAACUGACAUUGAGGCUCGAAAGUGUGGGUAUCA
rnacentral:rRNA from 1 species